rnacentral:rRNA from 1 species
AUUGAACGCUGGCGGCAGGCCUAACACAUGCAAGUCGAACGGUAACAGGAAACAGCUUGCUGUUUCGCUGACGAGUGGCGGACGGGUGAGUAAUGUCUGGGAAACUGCCUGAUGGAGGGGGAUAACUACUGGAAACGGUAGCUAAUACCGCAUAACGUCGCAAGACCAAAGAGGGGGACCUUCGGGCCUCUUGCCAUCAGAUGUGCCCAGAUGGGAUUAGCUAGUAGGUGGGGUAACGGCUCACCUAGGCGACGAUCCCUAGCUGGUCUGAGAGGAUGACCAGCCACACUGGAACUGAGACACGGUCCAGACUCCUACGGGAGGCAGCAGUGGGGAAUAUUGCACAAUGGGCGCAAGCCUGAUGCAGCCAUGCCGCGUGUAUGAAGAAGGCCUUCGGGUUGUAAAGUACUUUCAGCGGGGAGGAAGGGAGUAAAGUUAAUACCCUUGCUCAUUGACGUUACCCGCAGAAGAAGCACCGGCUAACUCCGUG